rnacentral:rRNA from 1 species
UACGGGGGGGGCAAGCGUUGUUCGGAAUUACUGGGCGUAAAGGGCUCGUAGGCGGCCAACUAAGUCACACGUGAAAUCCCUCGGCUUAACCGGGGAACUGCGUCUGAUACUGGAUGGCUUGAGUUUGGGAGAGGGAUGCGGAAUUCCAGGUGUAGCGGUGAAAUGCGUAGAUAUCUGGAGGAACACCGGUGGCGAAGGCGGCAUCCUGGACCAACACUGACGCUGAGGAGCGAAAGCCAGGGGAGCAAACGGG